CAGCUACACAUGCAGUCGACGGUAGCACAGAGAGCUUGCUCUCUUGUGGUUAGUGGCGGACGGGUGAGUAAUGUCUGGGAAACUGCCUGUUGGAGGGGGGAAACUACCGGAAAAAGUAGCUAAUAACGCAUAAAUUCGCUCGACCGCAGAGGGGGACCUUCCGGCCUCUUUUCAUCUGUUGUGCCCAGAUGGGACCGAUUAGCUUUUGGGGUAUGUAAAGGUAACCGCGAGCAUCCCUCCCUGGUCGGACAGGAACACCGACACCAGGAAGUGACAGGGGUCCAGACUCCUACCGGAGGCAGGCAUGGGGAGCUUGCUGAUGGGUGCAAACCUGAUGGAUCCAUCCCUCCUGUAUGAA
rnacentral:rRNA from 1 species